UACAGAGGUGGCAAGCGUUGUUCGGAAUUACUGGGCGUAAAGCGCGUGUAGGCGGCAAGGCAGGUCGGAUGUGAAAGCCCGCGGCUCAACCGUGGAAGUGCACUCGAAACCGCCUAGCUAGAGUCUCGGAGAGGAAGGUGGAAUGCUUGGUGUAGAGGUGAAAUUCGUAGAUAUCAAGCAGAACACCUGUGGCGAAGGCGGCUACCUGGACAGAGUCUGACGCUGAGGCAUGAAAGCUAGGGGAGCAAACAGG
rnacentral:rRNA from 1 species